rnacentral:miRNA from 1 species
GAUGAGGAUAGGGAGGAGGAG